CGGCGGACGGGUGAGUAACGCGUGGGUAACCUACCCUGUACACACGGAUAACAUACCGAAAGGUAUGCUAAUACGGGAUAAUAUAUUUGAGAGGCAUCUCUUGAAUAUCAAAGGUGAGCCAGUACAGGAUGGACCCGCGUCUGAUUAGCUAGUUGGUAAGGUAACGGCUUACCAAAGCGACGAUCAGUAGCCGACCUGAGAGGGUGAUCGGCCACAUUGGAACUGAGACACGGUCCAA
rnacentral:rRNA from 1 species